CUUGCUUCUCUUGAGAGCGGCGGACGGGUGAGUAAUGCCUAGGAAUCUGCCUGGUAGUGGGGGAUAACGUCCGGAAACGGACGCUAAUACCGCAUACGUCCUACGGGAGAAAGCAGGGGACCUUCGGGCCUUGCGCUAUCAGAUGAGCCUAGGUCGGAUUAGCUAGUUGGUGGGGUAAUGGCUCACCAAGGCGACGAUCCGUAACUGGUCUGAGAGGAUGAUCAGUCACACUGGAACUGAGACACGGUCCAGACUCCUACGGGAGGCAGCAGUGGGGAAUAUUGGACAAUGGGCGAAAGCCUGAUCCAGCCAUGCCGCGUGUGUGAAGAAGGUCUUCGGAUUGUAAAGCACUUUAAGUUGGGAGGAAGGGCAGUAAAUUAAUACUUUGCUGUUUUGACGUUACCGACAGAAUAAGCACCGGGCUAAACUCUGUGCCAGCAGCCGCGGUAAUACAGAGGGUGCAAGCGUUAAUCGGAAAUUACUGGGC
rnacentral:rRNA from 1 species